rnacentral:rRNA from 1 species
GUCCACGCCAUAAACGAUGACAACUAGACGUUGGGAGGGUAAGCCUCACAGUGUCGCAGCUAACGCGUUAAGUUGUCCGCCUGGGGAGUACGGCCGCAAGGUUGAAACUCAAAGGAAUUGACGGGGACCCCGCACAAGCGGUGGAGCAUGUGGUUUAAUUCGAUGCAACGCGAAGAACCUUACCUGGUCUUGACAUCCACGGAAUCCCGAAGAGAUUUGGGAGUGCCGCAAGGAACCGUGAGACAGGUGCUGCAUGGCUGUCGU